rnacentral:rRNA from 1 species
ACCCGCUGAACUUAAGCAUAUGG